rnacentral:piRNA from 1 species
UCCACUCCCUGACCUACUAACCCUC